GCCGCUGCGACUGUUUAUUAAAAACACAGCACUCUGCAAACACGAAAGUGGACGUAUAGGGUGUGACGCCUGCCCGGUGCCGGAAGGUUAAUUGAUGGGGUUAGCGCAAGCGAAGCUCUUGAUCGAAGCCCCGGUAAACGGCGGCCGUAACUAUAACGGUCCUAAGGUAGCGAAAUUCCUUGUCGGGUAAGUUCCGACCUGCACGAAUGGCGUAACGAUGGCGGCGCUGUCUCCACCCGAGACUCAGUGAAAUUGAAAUCGCUGUGAAGAUGCAGUGUAUCCGCGGCUAGACGGAAAGACCCCGUGAACCUUUACUGUAGCUUUGCACUGGACUUUGAGCCUGCUUGUGUAGGAUAGGUGGGAGGCUUUGAAGCGUGGACGCCAGUUCGCGUGGAGCCAUCCUUGAAAUACCACCCUGGCAUGCUUGAGGUUCUAACUCUGGUCCGUAAUCCGGAUCGAGGACAGUGUAUGGUGGGCAGUUUGACUGGGGCGGUCUCCUCCUAAAGAGUAACGGAGGAGUACGAAGGUGCGCUCAGACCGGUCGGAAAUCGGUCGCAGAGUAUAAAGGCAAAAGCGCGCUUGACUGCGAGACAGACACGUCGAGCAGGUACGAAAGUAGGUCUUAGUGAUCCGGUGGUUCUGUAUGGAAGGGCCAUCGCUCAACGGAUAAAAGGUACUCCGGGGAUAACAGGCUGAUACCGCCCAAGAGUUCAUAUCGACGGCGGUGUUUGGCACCUCGAUGUCGGCUCAUCACAUCCUGGGGCUGAAGCCGGUCCCAAGGGUAUGGCUGUUCGCCAUUUAAAGUGGUACGCGAGCUGGGUUUAGAACGUCGUGAGACAGUUCGGUCCCUAUCUGCCGUGGACGUUUGAGAUUUGAGAGGGGCUGCUCCUAGUACGAGAGGACCGGAGUGGACGAACCUCUGGUGUUCCGGUUGUCACGCCAGUGGCAUUGCCGGGUAGCUAUGUUCGGAAAAGAUAACCGCUGAAAGCAUCUAAGCGGGAAACUUGCCUCAAGAUGAGAUCUCACUGGGAACUUGAUUCCCCUGAAGGGCCGUCGAAGACUACGACGUUGAUAGGCUGGGUGUGUAAGCGUUGUGAGGCGUUGAGCUAACCAGUACUAAUUGCCCGUGAGGCUUGACCA
rnacentral:rRNA from 1 species